AUCCAAAUUAGCAAUUUCCAAAAAUAUUUCUCUUUCAUUGUGUACUAGAACCCUAGCUAGCAGCAUUUCCUCCACUGCUGCCUUGUGCGGGCUCCCAACGUAAAUAACACGCGUUUCCUUCUCUCUCAAAUUUCAGGUUAAAUUCCGGCUGCCCCUUUUUUAUCUUCCCAUUAUUUUUUCAGAUAUUUAUAAUCAUCUUACUCGUUCCCAGCACACGCCUCUCUCCAAAUUUCCCCAAUUUUUCCUAAGUUUCCCCAGUUCUACAAGCGAUCAAUCAAUCAAUCCAUCUGAGGUAGUAGAAAAAGCAAAAGGAGAGAGAGAUGUCGGAUCAGAGGUUGACACGUAUAGCUAUUGUGAGCUCCGACAAGUGUAAGCCGAAGAAGUGCCGUCAGGAGUGCAAGAAGAGCUGUCCCGUCGUCAAAACUGGGAAACUUUGUAUUGAGGUGACUCCUGCAUCUAAGAUCGCUUUCAUCUCAGAAGAGUUGUGUAUUGGCUGCGGUAUUUGCGUUAAG